rnacentral:piRNA from 1 species
UAGCUUCUCUUUUGACAAUUUGCAAUGUGC